UGGGAAAAAGUACCAAUAGGGUCCGCUC
rnacentral:piRNA from 1 species